AACAAACGCUGGCGGCGUGCCUAAUACAUGCAAGUCGAACGAGGAAAGCUUUCGGGUGAGUACUAGUGGUGCACGGGUGAGGAAUAUAUGGGUAAUCUGCCCUCGAGUUGGGGAUAACCAGUCGAAAGACUGGCUAAUACCGAAUAAGACCACAGGAUCUGCGGAUCUAGGGGUUAAAGGUUUUUCGCUUGAGGAUGAGCCCAUACGGGAUUAGCUAGUUGGCGAGGUAAUGGCUCACCAAGGCUACGAUCCCUAACUGGUCUUAGAGGAUGAUCAGUCACACUGGAACUGAGACACGGUCCAGACUCCUACGGGAGGCAGCAGUAGGGAAUAUUGCACAAUGGGGGAAACCCUGACGCAGCGACGCCGCGUGAGUGAUGAAGGCCUUCGGGUCGUAAAGCUCUGUCGUAUGGGACUAACACAAUGAAGGUACCAUGCAAGAAAGGAUCGGCUAACUUCGUGCCAGCAGCCGCGGUAA
rnacentral:rRNA from 1 species